UCCAGCCGGCGGUGAACUGAAAGCUGGUCGAACAAAAAUCAUUUUUUCUUUUUUCAUUUCUUUCUGUACUCCUGAGGUUCUAUCAUGGAUUCCCUAUCUACAUGAGCAAAGCUGAUAGGAGCAAACCCCAACAGACACAAUGUCAGUCAAAUGUGGUUCAGCCCAGUAUUUACACAGGCUUCACCUUUCAGCAGCAAGCAAGGGACCCCUGCUGAACACACACAGGAUGGUGAAGGUGGUCAUCACUGUCGCGUCUGACGGACUGCGAUCAUCCUUCAACUCUGUGGCCUUACAGAGAGCAACAAAAGAGUGGCAAAAAAGAAAAACAGAAAAAAGAAUGAGAGGAAGGAAAUGACAGCAGAAGCGGAGCAGAGGAGCGGCGGCUGGCCAGCAGAGAGCAGAGUCUGUGGAUGAUUAAUCUGGACUGAAGCCAGAAGCCAUAGAAAAGCAGCACAGCGGCAAAAGUACAGCUGAGUUUAAUCUGGUACACCAUCAGUUUAAAUGUUCACUAAGAAAAAAAUUCAUCAACAGCUGAUGUACAAUUUCUACAUUACUCAGGGAUUCAAGAUGAGAAUUGUAAUUUAGUGACUUCCAAAAUAAUUCACGCUCCUGAAAUAUUUGACAUAAAAAGUGACAUAAACAAACUUUAAAGUGUUUGUUUAAAAAUCUGAAAA